GGGGCUGACGGAAGCCUGGGAAUACCCGAGACACCAGAGUCGCUGCUGCCCUGGGUGGAAGGAAACCUGCCCUGGAAGAUGGGAAAUGCAAUAAGGAGAAAGUACCAAGGGAGUAACCACAGGCCCAUCCACAAGCACCAUUUCCAGCUGAUUUAUGGAACGCUGUUCUACCUGGUUAAUUUUCAACGUUAUCUCAGCCUGAGAGGCAGUGGCUCCCCACCUGUGAGUGGUCAGAAAGGUUCACACAGUUUUCCAGGGCGGCCUUUGCAUUUACUGGAACUAUUAAGAGCUCGUUCCUGCUUCGGCGGCGAUUGACAUGCAGUGCGCGUGAGGCCGUGCGUGGCUUAGUGUCUUCUCUAGGCUUACAGACCUUCACAGGAUCCUAGGUCACACGUUUCAGUUUCUCAGCGAGUGACAUUCUCUGCGGAAGCCGUGUCAGCCUCUUGUUUGUUGAUGUCAGCCACAGCAGAAAGAAGCACUCCGUAGGCCCCGUGCUCAGCACCUUGGCGUGAGCUCUUGCAAUCUUCUGUUCAUGCUCAUCACAGCUCUGUGCAGUGGGCGUCCUCCUGAUCCCGGUGGGAGGAUGGAGGAUGGAGGCGGAACGGUGAGUGACAGCAGGAUCACAUGAGGGGUCUCUCCCGAGGUAGAGAGGGGAACCGGCCCAGAACCUCAGUGCCCAUUACGUCCUUCCUACUCCUCCUCUGCCUCUCUGUGACUGACUCAGGCUGCAGGGACAGACGUGAGUAUGUGCAGAGUGUGUGUGCACCCCUGGGGGUGUGUGCUCAUAUUGGCAGGGAGGGAUGUGAGUGUGUACAGAGCGUGUGUGCACACCUGGGCAUGUGUGCUGGCAUUGGCAGGGACAGAUGUGUACAGAGUGUGUGUGCACACCUCGGGGGUGUGUGCUGUUGGCAUGGACAGACGUGAGCGUGUA